AACACAUGCAAGUCGAGCGGCAGCACGGGGAGCUUGCUCUCUGGUGGCGAGCGGCGGACGGGUGAGUAAUGCAUAGGGAUCUGCCCGGUAGUGGGGGAUAACGUGGGGAAACCCACGCUAAUACCGCAUACGUCCUACGGGAGAAAGCAGGGGAUCUUCGGACCUUGCGCUAUCGGAUGAGCCUAUGUCGGAUUAGCUAGUUGGUAAGGUAACGGCUUACCAAGGCAACGAUCCGUAGCUGGUCUGAGAGGAUGAUCAGCCACACUGGGACUGAGACACGGCCCAGACUCCUACGGGAGGCAGCAGUGGGGAAUAUUGGACAAUGGGCGAAAGCCUGAUCCAGCCAUGCCGCGUGUGUGAAGAAGGCUUUCGGGUUGUAAAGCACUUUCAGCGAGGAAGAAAGCCUCUGGGCCAAUACCCCAGAGGAAGGACAUCACUCGCAGAAGAAGCACCGGCUAACUCCGUG
rnacentral:rRNA from 1 species